rnacentral:rRNA from 1 species
CGGAACGGGUGAGUAACGCGUGAGGAACCUGCCUCAAAGAGGGGGACAACAGUUGGAAACGACUGCUAGUACCGCAUAAGCCCACGGCUCGGCAUCGAGCAGAGGGAAAAGGAGUGAUCCGCUUUGAGAUGGCCUCGCGUCCGAUUAGCUAGUUGGUGAGGUAACGGCCCACCAAGGCGACGAUCGGUAGCCGGACUGAGAGGUUGAACGGCCACAUUGGGACUGAGACACGGCCCAG